UUUCCCCAUUUUUCCCCCAUUUUUCUCCCUUUUCCCCCCAUUUUUUCCCCAUUUUUCCCCCAUUUUUUCCCCAUUUUUGUCCCAUUUUUUUCCCGAAUUUUCCCCUUUUUUUCCCCAUUUUUCCCUUUUCUGACCCAAUUUUCUCCCCCCCAAGGCUGGUUGGGGUGGGCUUCACCGCGAGGCCCCGCCCACCUCGCUGCUCCUGGCCUGUGCCCAGGCCCUGCUAUUGGAGCAGCUCCUGGGGGCGGGGCUUGGCCAGGCCACGCCCCUGGGGCGGAGCCUGCAGCCCCUGCAGCGGAAACUGCGCAGCUGCCCUCCGGGCGUGGUUCCCUGGGGGGUCCUGGCCGAGACCUCGCGGCUCUUCCGGGACCUUGGCCCCGCCCUCCUGCGAGGGCUGGAGGCGGCCGGCUGGGACACGCGGCGCCCCCUGCUGGCCGUGGACGAAUGGCGGCUGGAGUGGGCGGAGCCACAGCCGGGCCACGCCCCCUGAGCCGAGCCACGCCCCCUCCGCCCGAGGCCACGCCCACUUUGGGGGUUAAAGGGGCGGGAGCGGCGCCGGGAAAUAAAAAUUUUAUGGAAUUUUGGCGGUUUUGGGUGGAAAUUUGGGAGAUUUGGGGAAAUUUGGGGAAAUUUGGGGGAUUUCGGGAAAAUUUGGGGAAAAUUUGGUGAAAUUUUUGGGAAAGUUGGGGAAAUUUCAGGAAAUUUUGAGGGGAAUUUUGGCGAUUUUGGGAGAUUUUGAGAAAGUUUUGGAAGAUUUCAGGGAAAUUUGGGGAAAUUUUGGGAAUUUUGGGGAAAUUUUUGGAAAUUUGGGGAAAUUUAGAGAGUUUGGAAAAUUUGGGGAAAUUUUGGGAAAAAUUGAGGAUAUUUGAGGAAAUUUGGGGGAAUUUGGGGGGAUUUUAGGGAAAUUUGGGGAAAUUUUGAGGGAUUUUGGGAAAAUUGGGGAAAAUUUGGGAAAAUAUUUGAAAAUUUUGGGGGUUCGGGAGAUUUUGGGGCAAUUUUUGGGAAAUUUGGACAAAUUUGGGGGAUUUGGGGAGAUUUUUGGGAAAAUUUUGGGGAUCUCGGAAAAAUUGGGGCAAAUUUUGGGUAAAUUUGGGGAAUUUUGGGAGAUUUGGGGGAAAAUUGGGGAUUUGGGACAAUUUUGGGGAUUUUUGGGAAAUUUGGGGAAAUUUGGGGGAAAUUCGGGAAAUUUCCAUCCCAUUUUUCUCCUUUUGGGUCCUUUUGGUCAAUUUUGGGGAUUUUUGGGUCAUUUUGGGUCAUUUCCAUCCCAUUUUUCACCAUUUGGGGUCAUUUUUGGUUCAUUUUCCGUCCGUUUGUUCAAUUUUGGUUCAUUUUGGGUCAAUUUUGGGUCCUUUUGGUCAAUUUUGGGUCAUGUUGGGUCCUUUUGGUCAAUUUUGGGUCAUUUUGGGUCAAUUUGGGUCAUUUUGGGUCCUUUUGGUCAAUUUUGGGUCCUUUUGGUCAAUUUUGGGUCAAUUUUGGGUCAUUUUGGGUCAUUUUGGGUCAAUUU
rnacentral:lncRNA from 1 species